rnacentral:rRNA from 1 species
UACGGAGGGUGCAAGCGUUAUCCGGAAUUACUGGGUUUAAAGGGUGCGUAGGCGGCUUGAUAAGUCAGUGGUGAAAGUCUAUCGCUUAACGAUAGAAUUGCCUUUGAUACUGUAAAGCUUGAAAGGGGUUGAGGUCAGCAGAAUGUGGCAUGUAGCGGUGAAAUGUAUAGAUAUGCCAUAGAACACCGAUUGCGAAGGCAGCUGGCUGGGCCUACUUUGACGCUGAGGCACGAAAGCGUGGGGAGCGAACAGG